rnacentral:rRNA from 1 species
CACGUAGGGUGCGAGCGUUGUCCGGAAUUAUUGGGCGUAAAGAGCUCGUAGGCGGUGUGUCGCGUCGGCCGUGAAAACCUGCAGCUUAACUGUGGGCUUGCGGUCGAUACGGGCAUCACUGGAGUUCGGCAGGGGGAGACUGGAAUUCCUGGUGUAGCGGUGGAAUGCGCAGAUAUCAGGAGGGAACACCGGUGGCGAAGGCGGGUCUCUGGGCAGUAACUGACGCUGGAGGAGCGAAAGCGUGGGGAGCGAACAGG